rnacentral:lncRNA from 1 species
GAUCCAAGGUUCAAGGUUCAAGGUUCAUAGUAGAAGGUCAAGAGUUCAAGGACUAGUGUUUAGGGUUCAAGGUCUAAGGUUGAAGGUUUAGGGUUUAGAGUUUAGGGUCCAGGGUCUAAAGUCGAAGGUCUAAGAUUCAGGUUAAAAAAAAUUAUCAACAUUAUGUAUCAAUGACAUGAAAAACAUGAUGAGAUGACAUUAAAUAAUUG